CCCAGGCUGGAGCCUCCCGGCGGCGGCAGCGGCAGCCCGGCUGCCGAGCGCGGAGGCUCUGUCACGUGUUUUUCUCCUCCGAGUGAGACGGCGGCGCGGUCGGAGGGGGCCGGCGCGCAGAGCCAGACGCCGCCGCUUGUUUUGGUUGGGGCUCUCGGCAACUCUCCGAGGAGGAGGAGGAGGAGGGAGGAGGGGAGAAGUAACUGCAGCGGCAGCGCCUCCCAGGGAACAGGCGUCUUCCCCGAACCCUUCCCAAACCUCCCCCUUCGCCUGCCGCCCUUGUCCCCUGCCCUUCUCCCCUGCCGACUGGAGCGAGGGGCAGGGAUGAGCCUGUCCCUCCGGCUGGUCCUCAGCUACCCUGGCUGCCCAGUAGCGUUUCGAAUGGAAAAGCCACUUUCUCUGCCCGCCGAGAUGGGCCCGAAUGGGGGCUGCAGAGGACGCGCCCGCGGGCAGCGGCAGCAGCAGCAGCAACAGCCGCAGCGCCGCGGUCUCUGCGAUUGAGCUGGUAUUUGGACUGCUGGUGGCGGCUGGGACGGUUGCGGGGUGGGAGGAGGCGGAGGAGGAGGAGGAGAAGAAGGAGGAGGGAGAACCCAACGUUGGGACUUGGCAACCCGCCUCCCCCUACCCAAGGAUAUUUAAUUUGCCUCGGGAAUCUCUACUCCAGAGGGGAACUCAGGAGGGAAGGCGCGCGCGCGCGCACGCCUAGAGGGGCACCGCGGGGACCCCCGACCACCGCCUCCCUGAGCCGGACUCCAGCCGGAGCGGCGAGAGAUGCAUCUUCGCUCCUUCCCGGCAUCGGCAGUGGCUGAGAAGAGACUUGGCUCUCAAAGGAUCAGGGCUGCCCUCACCCUGGACUCACUGCCUCUCCCCCGGGCGUGAAGCGCCCGUAAAACUCCGGUCCGGCUCUCUCUUUGGCGCAGCAGCUGCGUCCUCCUCCAGCUGCCCCUCCCCGGUGCGGGGGACGGUGUGGAUUUCGGAGUCCGGGGUUUCUGCUGCCUCCAGCCCUAUUUGCAUGUGUGGGGCUGCGGCGAGGAGCCUUUGCCCCCCACCUGGUUGUUUUUCGGCGCCUCCCUCUGCUCAGCGGCGGUGGUGGCAGCGGCAGCAUGGCGAGCCCUCUGGAGAGCGAGGGCUUCUCGGACGUGCGCAAGGUGGGCUACCUGCGCAAACCCAAGAGCAUGCACAAACGCUUCUUCGUACUGCGCGCGGCCAGCGAGGCUGGGGGCCCGGCGCGCCUCGAGUACUACGAGAACGAGAAGAAGUGGCGGCACAAGUCGAGCGCCCCCAAACGCUCGAUCCCCCUUGAGAGCUGCUUCAACAUCAACAAGCGUGCUGACUCCAAGAACAAGCACCUGGUGGCUCUCUAUACCCGGGACGAGCACUUUGCCAUCGCGGCGGACAGCGAGGCCGAACAAGACAGCUGGUACCAGGCUCUCCUGCAGCUGCACAACCGCGCCAAGGGCCACCACGAUGGAGCUGCGGCCCUCGGGGCGGGAGGCGGCGGGAGCAGCUGCAGCGGCAGCUCGGGAGUUGGUGAGGCUGGGGAGGACCUGAGCUACGGGGACGGGCCCCCAGGACCCACGUUCAAAGAGGUCUGGCAGGUGAUCCUGAAGCCCAAGGGCUUGGGUCAGACAAAGAACCUGAUUGGUAUCUACCGCCUCUGCCUGACAAGCAAGACCAUCAGCUUCGUGAAGCUGAACUCGGAGGUAGCGGCUGUGGUGCUGCAGCUGAUGAACAUCAGGCGCUGCGGCCACUCGGAGAACUUCUUCUUCAUCGAGGUGGGUCGUUCUGCCGUGACGGGGCCCGGGGAGUUCUGGAUGCAGGUGGAUGACUCCGUGGUGGCACAGAACAUGCACGAGACCAUCCUGGAGGCCAUGAGGGCCAUGAGCGAUGAGUUCCGCCCUCGCAGCAAGAGCCAGUCCUCGUCCAACUGCUCCAACCCCAUCAGCGUCCCCCUGCGCCGGCACCAUCUCAACAACCUCCCGCCCAGCCAGGUGGGGCUGACCCGCCGAUCACGCACCGAGAGCAUCACCGCCACCUCCCCGGCCAGCAUGGUGGGCGGGAAGCCAGGCUCCUUCCGUGUCCGCGCCUCCAGCGACGGUGAAGGCACCAUGUCCCGCCCGGCCUCGGUGGACGGCAGCCCUGUGAGUCCCAGCACCAACAGAACCCACGCCCACCGGCAUCGGGGCAGCGCGCGGCUGCACCCCCCGCUCAACCACAGCCGCUCCAUCCCCAUGCCAGCUUCCCGCUGCUCGCCUUCGGCCACCAGCCCGGUCAGUCUGUCAUCCAGCAGCACCAGUGGCCAUGGCUCCACCUCAGAUUGUCUCUUCCCACGGCGGUCUAGUGCGUCGGUGUCUGGUUCUCCCAGCGAUGGCGGCUUCGUCUCCUCGGAUGAGUAUGGCUCCAGUCCCUGCGAUUUCCGGAGUUCCUUCCGCAGUGUCACUCCGGAUUCCGUGGGUCACACCCCACCGGCCCGCGGUGAGGAGGAGCUAAGCAACUAUAUCUGCAUGGGCGGCAAGGGGCCCUCCACCCUGACCGCCCCCAACGGUCACUACAUCUUGUCUCGGGGUGGCAAUGGCCACCGCUACACCCCAGGAACAGGCUUGGGCACGAGUCCAGCCUUGGCUGGGGAUGAAGCAGCCAGUGCUGCCGAUCUGGAUAAUCGGUUCCGAAAGAGAACUCACUCAGCAGGCACAUCCCCUUCCAUUUCCCACCAGAAGACCCCGUCUCAGUCCUCAGCGGCUUCCAUUGAGGAGUAUACAGAGAUGAUGCCUGUCUACCCACCAGGAGGUGGCAGUGGAGGCCGACUGCCGGGACACAGGCACUCCGCCUUCGUGCCCACCCAUUCCUACCCUGAGGAGGGUCUGGAAAUGCACCUCUUGGAGCGUCGGGGGGGCCACCAUCGCCCAGAAAGCUCUACCCUCCACAGUGAUGAUGGCUACAUGCCCAUGUCCCCAGGGGUGGCCCCAGUGCCCAGCAGCCGAAAGGGCAGUGGAGACUAUAUGCCCAUGAGCCCCAAGAGCGUGUCUGCCCCGCAGCAGAUCAUCAACCCCAUCAGACGCCAUCCCCAGAGAGUGGACCCCAAUGGCUACAUGAUGAUGUCCCCCAGCAGCAGCUACUCCCCUGACAUUGGAGGUGGCCCUGGCAGCAGCAGCAGCAGCAGCAGCAGCAGGGCUGUCCCUUCUGGGAGCAGCUAUGGAAAGCUGUGGACAAACGGGGUAGGGGGCCACCACGCUCAUGUCUUGCCUCACCCCAAACCCCCAGUGGAGAGCAGCAGUGGCAAGCUCUUGCCUUGCACAGGUGACUACAUGAACAUGUCACCAGUGGGGGACUCCAACACUAACAGCCCCUCCAACUGCUACUACGGCCCUGAGGACCCCCAGCACAAGCCAGUCCUCUCCUACUACUCAUUGCCAAGAUCCUUUAAGCACACCCAGCUCCCUGGGGAGCUGGAGGAGGGUGCCCGGCAUCAGCACCUUCGCCUUUCCACUAGCUCUGGUCGCCUUCUCUAUGCUGCAACAGUGGAAGAUUCUUCCUCCUCCACCAGCAGCGAUAGCCUGGGUGGGGGAUACUGUGGGGCUAGGAUGGAGCCCAGCCUUCCACAUUCCCACCAUCAGGUUCUGCAGCCCCAUCUGCCUCGAAAGGUGGACUCAGCUGCUCAGACCAAUAGUCGCCUGGCCCGGCCCACGAGGCUGUCCCUGGGGGAUCCCAAGGCCAGCACCUUACCUCGGGCCGGAGAGCAGCAGCAGCAGCAGCAGCCCCCGCUGCACCCUCUGGAGCCCAAGAGCCCAGGGGAAUAUGUGAAUAUUGAAUUUGGGAGUGAUCAGCCUGGCUACUUGUCUGGCACUGUGGCUUCCCACAGCUCACCUUCUGUCAGGUGUCCAUCCCAACUCCAGCCAGCUCCCAGAGAGGAAGAGACUGGCACUGAGGAGUACAUGAAGAUGGACUUGAGGCCAGGCCGGAGGGCAGCCUGGCAGGAGAGCAUUGGGGUCGAGGUGGGCAGAGUGGGCCCCGCACCUCCUGGGGCUGCUAGCAUUUGCAGGCCUACCCUGGCAGUGCCCAGCAGCCGGGGUGAAUAUAUGACCAUGCAGAUGGGUUGUCCCCGUCAGAGCUACGUGGACACCUCACCAGUUGCCCCUGUGAGCUAUGCUGACAUGCGGACAGGCAUUGCUGCAGAGGAGGUUAGCCUGCCCAGGGCCACCAUGGCUGCUGCCUCCUCAGCCUCAGCAGCCUCUGCUUCCCCUGCUGGGCCUCAAGGGGCAGCAGAGCUGGCUGCCCGCUCAUCCCUGCUGGGGGAACCGCAAGGACCUGGGGGCAUGAGCGCCUUCACCCGGGUGAACCUCAGUCCUAACCGCAACCAGAGUGCCAAAGUGAUCCGUGCAGACGCACAAGGGUGCCGGAGGAGGCAUAGCUCCGAGACCUUCUCCUCAACACCCAGUGCCACCCGGGUGGGCAACAUGGUGCCCUUUGGAGCGGGGGCAGCAGGAGGGGCCAGUGGCGGUAGCAGCAGCAGCAAGGAUGUGAAACGCCACAGCUCUGCUUCCUUUGAGAAUGUGUGGCUGAGGCCUGGGGAGCUUGGGGGAGCCCCCAAGGAGCCAGCCCAACUGUGCGGGGCUGCUGGGGAUUUGGAGAAUGGUCUUAACUACAUAGACCUGGAUUUGGUCAAGGACUUCAAACAAUGCCCUCAGGAGCGCACCCCUCAACCACAGCCACCCCCACCCCCAUCCCCACCCCCUCAUCAAUCCCUGGGCAGCGGUGAGAACAGCUCCACCCCCCGCUCCAGUGAGGAUUUAAGCACCUAUGCCAGCAUCAGUUUCCAGAAGCAGCCAGAGGAACGUCAGUAGCUCAACUGGACAUCACAGCAGUCCACUGCAGACUGGGGAUGUCUAUGCAAAUGCUUGUUCAGUGCCUGAUUCCUGCGCUAUCAUGGAAAAACUGAUGAUGGUUGAGAAACAAUUGGAAUGAAGACCUAAAUGACCUCAGCAAAUCCUCCUCUAACUCAUGGGUACCCAGACUCUAAAUAUUUCAUGAUUCACAACUAGGACCUCAUAUCUUUCUUGUCAGUAGAUGGUACGAUGCAUCCAUUUCAGUUUGUUUACUUUAUCCAAUCCUCAGGAGUUUGUUGACUGAACUGCACAUUCUAUAUUGUGCCAAGGAAAAAGAGCACUGUGACACCAGAACAAUGAGUCUGCAUAAACUUCGUCUUCAACUUUAAGGACUUAGCUGGCCACAAUGAGCUGAUGUGCCCGCCACCGUGUCUUGAGAGAAUGAGUUUACUCUCAAUGCAUUUACAAGAUACAUUUCAUCUGCUGCUGAAAUUGUGUACAACAAAGCAUCACUGUAAAUUAUUUCAUACAAAACUGUUCACAUUGGGUGGAGAGAGUAUUAAAUAUUUAACAUAGGCUUUGAUUUAUAUGUGUAAUUUUUUUAAAUGAAAAUGUAACUUUUCUUACAGCACAUCUUUUUUUUUUUUGGAUGUAGGACUGAGGUAUACAAUGUUCUGUUGUAAACAGUGGAGCAAAUGCUUAAAACAAGGCUUAAAAGAGUAGAGUAGGGUGUGAUCCUUGUUUUAAGAUUCUAAUUCAGAAAAAAUAGUAAGAAUCAUAGUGCCAUAGAUGGUUCUCAAUUGUAUAGUUAUAUUUGCUGAUACUAUUUCUUGUAAUAUCAACCUGAUGUUGAGCUGAGUUCCUUAUAAGAAUUAAUCUUAAUUUUGUAUUUUUUCCUGUAAGACAAUAGGUUAUGUUAAUUAAACUGAAGAAGGCUAUAUUCGACUGGGUGUUUUCAAGUGUCAGCUUAAAAUCAGCAAUUGAAUGGAAGCAAAAUUACAAGAAGAGAAAAUCAAAGUCUUCCAUUGUAUAUAUUGUAAAGAGAAGGAGACAUGGGUGAUUCCUUCAAAUCAAAAGCUCUCUUUGGAAUGAACAAUGUGGGUGUUUGUAAAUUCUGGAAAUGUCUUUCUAUUCAUAAUAAACUAGAUACUGUUGAUCUUUUCUUUUCUCCCCUCCCCACCCCAACUUUCUGUUAGUUUCCCACUCUAUUCCCACCAUUUUUUUUCUGUGUACACAUUAUAUUUCGUAUCCUGCAUUGUCUUGAGAAAGAUGGUCAGACAAGUGAGCGCUUGCUAAUCAGAAAUUAAAAUUCCAGAAAGUGUUUUUCAUCAUGACCAGGGCUACAUGUUACUUUCCCUAAGACCCUUAUCUCAUGUUUUUUGAGAACUUCCAGUGUUACAUUAGUUAACUGAAUGUAACUGGCCCAUUUGCCUUGGUGGGUGCUGGCCUAUUAGUGAUUAGUUAAUAAAGUGCAGUGUACAGAAAGCACGUAAAAGCUUAAUGACCUGCUACUGAAACAUGUAGCCAGCAGUGAAAAUGUUAAUUCUUUUCUUGUUUGAAAAGUAUACACGUCUUGAAAGUUUUUUCCAUGAGAAAAAGAAAUGCAAUGAAUGCAUUUAAAUAUAUUGCUGGCAGAUUUUUAAAUCUUUUUACCUGGAAACUUCCAAAAAGGUUAAGGGAAAUAAUGCAAAUAUCAGGCUCCCUCUGAGUCAAUGUAAACUCUCUAUCAGGAAUUCCCAGCCCUACUUUUGGAAGGAGCAACAUUUUAUUUCUCUGAGUGCCUAAGCUCCCUGGGUGGGAGUGGGGACUACAAGGAAGAGGCCAGAGUUGGAGGGCGUUGUAGUGGCUGCUGCCUCCUGAUGAAGUUAGGGGACCCCAGCUCUACUCAAAAGGGAGUGGAGAUAAAUGGAACCCCUCACACUGCUGAGGCCCAUGUUACUGUUCAUUCAACCAGAUGGCAUGUAACUCACAAACUGCUGUGCAAUGUUCAUUGUUGCAGAUUUUAAUCAUUUGCAUGCUCAUCAAUUUCUAAGAUAAAUAGGGUCUAGAGUCAUACGAAUCCAUUGUUUUCAAGGAACUUGCAGAAUGACAUCAUUUCCUAUUAGUAGAGAGCACUACCCAUUUGGAAAAUCUGAUAGGAAAGUUGUUUUUUACUCUUUUGUAAAAAAGACUUUCUUAGUCAAACUAACUUUUCAUUUUUUCAAGUAGUCUGAUUCAUACUCUUGCUAGUGGAAGAAGAGAGCAAGCUGCCCUGAUCUUUUCCUUUGAGGACUGAAAUAGUUAAAGAGAAAUCAAUGAACAAAGUCACUCCCAACCAUUUUCCUGUAAAGCUGGUUAUUAUUUCUCAAGGAACCUACAUUUUGAAUAUGUGUUACUGAGAUACCUCUGCAUGUGUAAUUAUGAACAUGUUUUGGAUGAGGAAAGGAAUGAACAGACUGGAAAAAUCUGUUUCUAUUUCUCUGACUUUUUUGUUGAGUCAAAUAGCAUAAAGGUGGAAAUUCUUAUUUAAGCUGCUUCUAGUGGUGCCUGACCUGGUUUUUAUGGUGGCAUCAAACUACCGACUUAAAACUGGAAGUUGCUGGUACGCAAACCAAAAGCUCUUGCUCUGGCAACAGGAAGGGUUUACUUUGAGCAACAUCAGCUGCUAAGUCCUUGCGUUCAGUCCCCAUUGAGGAGAGCUGGCUUUUAUCCAUUUCAAAGGGUUGUAGGCCAGCCAAGGGCUUUCAUUAUUGAGGCUUCUAGUGGCCUCUGUUUAACCUAGAAGUUAGUGGGUUUUUCUUCGUGACACCAACCUCUCACAGCGUUCUUUCUUAGAGACUUAGGUAGAGUUUAAAAAUUCUCUUUUGUGAAAAGAACAAAUAUAUUUCAUGACUUUGAUGAUAUCUUCAUUCUGGGCAAAAGAAUGGCCCUAGAGCCAGCUAGAAGUGAAGAGAAUCCAUUAAUGAUCAACCACCUUAGUCAAUAAUGACAAAUCAGUACUGAUGUUACAUUUGUGGCUAUUUCUCGCUGACUUUCAAAGGUCAGGGACUCCCUUGACUAAUCUAGUGACUGCAAAAAUGGAGCUGCUAAAAAUCAUCUAGCCAGAAGUAGAGAUUUUUAACCUUUCUUUCUCUGGCUUUUGUAUUCUAGCUGUCAUUUAAAUUUGAGACAUUUAAAGUAUUAAGAAAUAAUUUUUCUGUACAGUAAGAAACAGUAUUUUACAAUACUGAAGUGCUGUUUUAUUCUAUCUUUCAUCCUGAAUGCAAUAUACCAUGAAGUUGAAAACCUUAAUUUUGUUUACUAAAGGUGGUUUAAAAAAAGGGGGGAUGGGGUUUCACUAUCCACAGGCAACGAGAACCAUGAAAAAUGGUCUCUAUAUGCGUUGUUCCAACUGCUGGUGACAGUGAUCCCAUAUUUGGUCUCAUGUUGCUUUUGCAGAGAGCUCUGUAGGUCAGUCCAUCACACAAAGAGGCCCUGAAUCCAGACACUGUGCAUUAAGACCUUGACUGGGAAGAGACAUGACCUUUUUGGUAGGCGUGGGAAGGAGAAUGGGUGGAAGCCAAUAUGAAAUUUCUUCUUUGAAAUGACUUGACAGGGCAGUUAAUGUUCCUAGGAUGCCAUGAAUGAUGAAUGUUAGUUGGAAGUAAUGCUGUAUAUGUAUGUAUAUAUAUAUAGCGAGCAUGCACACGUGCACGUGUGUAUGUGUACAGGCUGAUAAGAAACUUGAGAGGAAGAAGCAUGCUCUUCUAGAAACAUGAGGAAAUAUGACCUUGCCAAGACUAAAAGACCUCCAUACUGUGAACUCAGUUAUGGAGAAUAAAAACAACGUCCUAGUCAGUAGAACUAAAGAUAAACACUGGUGCCAUGCAUCCCUUCUAAGGCAGCGCCACAGAACUUCGUGGUCCUUCCCUAGUUCUAUAAGUCAGUUUCCUAAGUAUGGGUAGAGAAUGUGUAGCCUGUUGUGUGUCUCAGCUUGUGAAGAGAGCAUCAGAUUAGGUGCAGGGAGGACGUGGAAUGAUAUUGGAGGUGCUCAACCCUACUCGAGGAAUUUAUUAUGAAUAAAGAGCUUAUAAUUAGCUAGUAUGAUUAGAAAACACUUAACUUAGGUGGAGAGUUAUCUUUCUUUUCUAGUUUGUCAAUGACUUGGCAUUUGUGACAUAUAUGCGGAAAGAUCUGGUGUUUUAGAGUUCUGCCAUUCACCUGGCAUUUAAAUCUCUCCUUGCUUAUGCUGUUAAUUUUUCCAGUGUUAACCAAUAUGCCAUAUGAUAGGACAAAUUCAGUAAACAGGAAAACUUGUCUGUAUGUGCAUAGACAUUUGUAGAGCUUUUUUCUUUUUUCUUUUUAGAACUUUGCCAUUGGCUUAAGAAUGUAGUUCCCAAAACAAUUAUUUCUUGCAAAGUACUUUCCUUACACCUCUUGGCUACAGGGUGGGCCAAAUUAAACACAUAUGUAUUUUCAUUUAAUGUGUGUGGAGUUUGGUUUAUCAUCUUAAGAUGGUGGUGCUGCUCCCGGUGCUACUUCAUAUGUGUACACAAAGACCAAUGCAUGGUCUGUAUUGCUACCAAAACAUUUACUGUAUAUAUGUGUAUAACAUGUAUUAUGUAUAUAUGUAAUGGGUACCAGGCCAAGUAUAUCUUUUUUUAUUUAGAAGUGUUUCAUUUUUCCAAGUUUUCUUUAUAGUGUUAUGCUUAUUUUCUUUUUUUUUUUUCCUGAUUCUGUCUGGUACUUAGAGUUGUAGUGUCUUCAUCAUCAAUUAAAGAAAACUGUCUAAAUGAA